UCUCUGGAGAGAAGGAAUGGAGGACGUUUCGGGUCGAGACCCCUCUUCACAUUCCUUGGUGAUGUGAAGGAAGGAAUUGCAGAUGCUGGUUUACUCCGAAGAUAGACACAAAGUACAGGGGUAGCCCAGCGGGUUAGACUGGAGGACUGGAGUGUGGCCAAUUCUGUCCUUUGUUUAAGAAGGGGAGAGAACCCAGGGAACGAUAGGCCGGUGGAAAGAACCAGCAGUAAAAGUAAAAGAAAAACCUGAUUGGAUACAUGCCAACAGAUGUAAACUGUGUCAUUCAGACAGAACCCUCGAGGAGAAGGAGAACGCAAGAGCCGUACAUUUUUGUAGUGAGAAGAUGAUGAUAAGAAAGUGUCAAAAUGUUCUUUAUUAACUAUCUUUGUUGUAAUACAUACUUAUGAAUAUAUUAACAUUAUAUGGGAUCAUAGAGGAUAUGAGGGUGAAGAGCAACAUCUAGAUAGUUACAAGAAACAGGAUGAAGGUAGAAAUUGGAGUAUGAAAUUCAACAAACAAUCUUCACACAGAACACAGUGAACUCGCAGCUGAAAGAAAAACAGGCUUCCUUAUCAGAUUUGAAUGUUGGGUUUGUGCCCAUAUCCCUACGCAUGCUGAAGAAGGUAUCCCUUUGCGAGCUUAAGGACGGGUUCCGACCAAAUUAUAAUCGGACAUGUGUGUCUACAUUUUUGCAACUGAUUAAUGAGAGAAAAUAUUAAAAUCCUUUCUUACUAUAAUAUAAGUGUUGAUCACAAAGAUCAACAAGGAGGGAACUGUGGAAAAAAUAUUAAUAUCCUUUCUUACUUAAUUCUGAUAGGAAUUGAACAAUUUAACAAAAGGGUGUUUGGAUGUGACAAUUGGCAUCUCUCGUUGACCAGGUGUGGAAGAGGUUCAUGGAAAUCGGCAAAUUAAGAUUAGACGUAUUACCUUUUCUAGGAAUGUGUUGGAAGGGUAGAUGGUAAAUGUAAACAUGAAAUUGUAGACGGAGAUAAGGAAGCUUGUUAUUCUCAGCAGUGUGUUAAGGAGUAGACCACCCGCGCCCCCUACCGCUAAUAGUGUAUAUACGUUGCAGUAAAUGGGGGUAUAUGAUUGGCUUGGAGAUGAGAUGGUGGCGCGACCUGCCUAAAAGGAGAGAAAGAAUAAUGUCACAAUGCCCCUGUAUUGGGUUUGACUUGUAUUAACAAUCUGUUGUUGAACAAGAUUGACAUAACCAAAAAGUAUGUUAUGACUAAUGAGAUAAUUGGUACCCAUGUAGUAGAUAGUAUAUUUUUGUAUAGUUGUAUCUGCAUAGUUGUGUUGUAUAGUUGUUUGCUGCACAGUAUAACUGUCAGCUAAUUCUGCUGUGAAGUGAGAGAACCGGUGAGCAGUUAAAUGCCGCCAUCUCUCCAUGAUAUCAUGCAAUAAAGUCUCUUGAAGCAAACCUGCAAAGUCUCCGCUUUUCAUUUUCCUUUAAUUUCCUUCUAAAUUAAUUUCUUCCACAGAAUUUGGCGUAGUCGGCAGGAUCCCAAUUGUAAAGGGAUUCAAACGAAUACAAGUGGGAAAUAAAACUGAAUGAUAAAAUAGUCCUAACCGAAAGGGGGACAGAAGGGCUUCCAAGAGAGAAUGGAGAGUCCCAGGGCAACCUAGCUUAUCUGGCUGGUGACUCACACUGAGACAAGAGGCCUGUGGGGUGAGGCGAAAUAGCGGAGAAGAUAAAUUUACUCACACUGGAGGUAGAAGAUAAAUUGAAGCAGGUGCCGUAAAGCGCGCUAUAGAAAUUGAAAGGUGACUUUGAGGUUUGCGGACAGAGUAAAACCGGAGUGCGCAAACUGUGAAUAGAAUAUAAUAAGAAAUUGUCCGCGGAAACCUAGCUUUUGUUUUACAGACUUCAGAGAAGAAUAUAGGAGGCAACAGUAGUCAAUCGGAGAAAUCUGAUCCUACUGCUAGAGGGAGGCCUGAAGAAAAGAAACAGGUGGUCCAGGAGGGAAAAAUGCAGAUAAGAGAGAACACUGCCAAGGUGAUAAAAAAGACCAUAGGACACCGGGAAAAGAUAGGAGAUCCCAUUGUUCCACCGGGAUCGCCAGCAGAUGUGGUAAUAGCAAAGAACGGAGAUGACCAAUGUGUGGUAGAUUUUUGUGGUAAUCUAGCUGAUCGAUCAAAUGGAGAUUGGCUGGAUGGGGACGUUAUAAGCUAUCUCUGUCCUACAUAUCACUAAAAAAGAAAUGGUUGGGCGAGAUGGGAGCACAAUUAAGAUUUGCAGUGGUUUGCAAAGACACCAGCCCCUAGAGGAGGUGAAAGGUGUUCAGCAAAAAGGGGGAAAUGAGGGACCUGUGCCUAUACCACCAAAGCAAGUGGCAGCAAGAGGAUGAAUUUGAUGAUCUGUUGAUGAUGGCGACCGCAUUACGCCCACGCCAACCUCCGUAUAACCCGGCUUACAUAGAGGAAGAAGAGGCUGCUGCCCCGUUGGGUGCUGAGGCUCUGUUUCUACCUCUGGUGUCUCGGAUGGAUCAGUUCACUGGUAAAGGAGCCACAGCUCCUCUGGCAAGUCUAGCAGAAGCAGAAGCUAGAGAUGCCGGAUGCGAGCAGUGGGCCGGUAGGAAGGUGUACCGAAUUCCUCCAGCGCCAUAAAAGUCAGCUGUAGGAGGCCCCACCAGGUCACAAAGAUGGACCUCCAACGUUUGUUUGGUUAGGCACCAAUAUUAUUUUUUCUUCUCACUGAAUGAUUUUUUUUGUGCUGGUUUUAUUAUGCUAUCUAUUGAGUAUUGUGUUUGCUGACCGGUUAAGCUGCUGCAAGCAAGAAUUUCAUUCUCCUGUUUUGGAACAUAUGACAAUUAAACACUCUUGACUCUCAAAGCUUUCCCGUCCAGGUAACGUCCUUGUGAUUAUUUUCUGCACUCUUUCCAGCUUAAUAAAAUCCUUCCCACAGUUCGACAACCAGAAGAAAUAUCUUGCACGGUUGUAACUUGACGUCCCAACUCUUGUACUCAUCAUGUUGUUUAAGAAGGAACUGCAGAUGCAGUCUGAAGAAGGGUUUCGGCCCGAAACGAUGCCUAUUUCCUUCGCUCCAUAGAUGCUGCUGCACCCGCUGAGUUUCUCCAGCAUUUUUGUGUACCUUGUACUCAUCACCCUGACUGACUGAUGAAAGCAUGCGUACCAUGUACCUUUCAUACCACCCUGUCUACUGGAAUCAUUGCUCUCAGAAAACUAUGUACUUAGAUUCCAGGUCUCUCGGUUCUACAAUACUCUCCAGAUACAAGUGCUACCCUGAUUUAACUUACUGAAAUACAACACUUUGUACUUGUCAGAGAUAAAUUCCAUCUGCCAUUCCAUGAUAAAUUUUCCCAGUUCUAGAUCCUGCGCAAUCCUAAAUAAUCUUCUUCACUGUUCGCUAUACCACUAACGUUUGGUGUCAACUACAAGCUUAAUAACCCUGCUAGAAUCUGGGCAGAUCUGAUCUGAAUAUGGUCAAAAUGAAUAAAAUGGGUUUAACAUAGGAUUAGUGCAAGUGGAUGCUCCAUGGCUGGCAGGAUGAAAAGAUCAGUUUCUGUGCUGUGUCUAUUGUGCUUAUGCAAACCAAGAACCCACCUUUCAUAAAGGAAAGUGCAUGCACAAGGUUAGUUCAGCUCCCUAUUUGAAGUAGAUUAUUGAAAGGAGUGCUGCAAAUUUCAGAUUGUUUGCCUUGUUAGAAACACUUUUGAAUUGGAGAGUUGUAUUACAUAAGAAUUGCUGUCCUAGUUCAAAAUGCCACAUGGUUGAGAACAUUUUAAUCUAAAGAACUGUCACAAUAUUUCUAGCUGCAUCCCAACAAACAUCUUUAGAAUGCUAUACAGGAGCACUGAAAAUAAAUAGAAAUAAAAAUCAGAGACCUCAUCAGAACAAGAACUAAAAAUCGAAGUUUUCAUAUUAUUUGCGUAACCGCUGCAGCUCAGAAUCAACCAUUACCACCUUCUAAACUCAAAACUUCUAAUAGAGCACAUAAUUAUGACAUUAAAAAAAUAAUUCAUACACUAAUCGAAGUAAAAAUUGAGGAAAUUCUGGCUGUACAGUUUUGCCAAAUGAGUGAGAAUAUCUGUAGAUUGCAGCUUUAAAAUCUAAACUUUAAAAUAAAAUUCUGAAAAUUGUCUUUUACCACAUUGUCAUUACCUCCGCAGAGGCACAGAUGUGGCACUGGCUAUGGCAAAGUGAUGGCAGAACGUUGUCUGAAACACGAACGAGCGGGAUUACCUCUAUCUACAUAUGACCGACUUACACAAAUACUUUUCCAGUUGCCUCUUUUUAUUUCUGGUCAGCAAAAUCGAAUUUGUCACAAACCAACUGAAUUACAAUCAACUUCUUAAAUUCUUGCACUGUCCAGCAUUGGUGACAUUACUUUAACCAGAAGGGUCACAUUCUAUGCACAAAUUAUGCAAACAAAUUCUAAAACAUGGUAUAGUUACAGUUUGAUUUUGGAAAUACCGACACUUAAUAUUAAAAGUUAACCACUUCACUGAUA